UACGUAGGAGGCAAGCGUUGUCCGGAAUCACUGGGCGUAAAGCGCGUGUAGGUGGAAGAGGAAGUCUGCUGUGAAAGCGCCUGGCUUAACCGGGCGAGGUCGGUGGAAACUCCUCAUCUAGAGGUCGGUAGAGGGGGGUGGAAUUCCGGGUGUAGUGGUGAAAUGCGUAGAGAUCCGGAGGAACACCUGUGGCGAAGGCG
rnacentral:rRNA from 1 species